GUACUAUCGUCUGACUUUCUAUAUUAUUUCGGCCCCUUUUUUCGAUCCUCAGAUCGAAUUGUGAGUACUAUUCUUUAUGGUUGAAACGUUUGUGACCCUGGAAAUGCCACAGAUAUGGGUCAGAAAUGGUCUGAUGACAAUUCUUUUCUGCGCAGUACUUUUUUUUAAAGAAUUUUUUAAAUCAGGUAGGGUUUUUUUUCAGUUUAUUCGGUCCGCUGGCUAACUCGCUGCUGCUACUUUCAACAAAAAUAUUUUUAGUGUCCACCAUUUACAUUCCUAUUAAGAAAUAAAUUCUUAUAGGAUCUGUUACUUCAUGUUAAAACACAUACUUUAAGAAUAUUUAUUAACAUUACAUUUUGAAUAUAUGUAAAUGAUUUCAGGGUCUAAUAUUUAGCCAAUCAUUUGGAAAUAUUAUGUAAAAUCGUGGUUUUUAAAUGGCUACAUGGAUGAUUGCAUGGUAAGAGCUCACAUCAAGAAUGAAGUCGUAAAGGAUGAGAAGACAAAAAUUAAUCAAUUCGACUUAUGGUAAAUAUACUACACUCCUAUAUCGAAUGCUACUUUGUUGCGAGUCUAACCAAUGCGGUCAAGAUGUGAACUAACGUUGUCAAAAAAUCCAUGAUCAAUAAUCCAUCAAAUCCAUCAAACUACUAUCCCUCUCUCUGCUUAUGUGAUUGGUUCCCUGCAACGAAUCAAACAUCCCUCAAGCAAGUGUCUCAUCCCGUCCCUUUAAAAUGAAUCUGCGCCACUAUUUUAUUUUGGGAUCGUUUAUCUCUUUUGGUUUUAUGGUUUAAUGGUGCUAAUGG
rnacentral:lncRNA from 1 species